rnacentral:lncRNA from 1 species
GGUUGUGAGCUUGUAAAACAACCGGCUGUAAUUCGAGGGAUUAUAGUGAACUCCCAAGUGAAGCUUGGGGAGUGGACGUAGAAGCAAGGGUUAGCUCCGAACCACUAUAAAAUCUCUUGUGUUUGUGAUUGUUUCAUUGUCUCUUCUAUUCCCUUCAUUCACUGCAUAUAGUAACUAAUUAAUCCACUUGCAAUAAGUUUUAAUUAGUUACUCACAAGGUUUUU